rnacentral:rRNA from 1 species
CCUACGGGUGGCAGCAGUGAGGAAUAUUGGUCAAUGGGCGCGAGCCUGAACCAGCCAAGUAGCGUGAAGGAUGACUGCCCUCCGGGUUGUAAACUUCUUUUGUAAAGGAGUAAAGUGAGGCACGUGUGCCUUUUUGUAUGUACUUUAUGAAUAAGGGUCGGCUAACUCCGUGCCAGCAGCCGCGGUAAUACGGAGGAUCCGAGCGUUAUCCGGAUUUAGUGGGUUUAAAGGGAGCGUAGAUGGGUUGUUAAGUCAGUUGUGAAAGUUUGCGGCUUAACCGUAAAAUUGCAAUUGAUACUGGCAGUCUUGAGUACAGUUGAGGUAGGCGGAAUUCGAGGUGUAGCGGUGAAAUGCGUAGAUAUGACGAAGAACUCCGAUGGCGAAGGCAGCCUACUA